rnacentral:sRNA from 1 species
GCCAGGAGUGGUGGUGCACGCCUGUAAUCCUAGUGGCUUGGGAGGCUGACACAGGAGGAUUGAAAGUUCAAAGCCAGCCUCAGCAAUGGCGAGGCGCUAAGCAACUCAGGGAGACCCUGUCUCUA